rnacentral:rRNA from 1 species
AUGCGCUCCAGAGUUGAGCCACAUCACGCAGCGCCGCCGUUGCGGAUUUGCCCAGCUCCAGGCUGCGGCCGGCCGGCUCCAACGAGUAGCUCCCAUACGGCAGCGCGCGCAGCGCCCAUAGCUCCCACGCGGCGGCGACCGGCGGCGCCAGGUGGCCAUAGCUUCCACAGGCCUGCGUCCAGCGGCGCCCAUGUUGGCUCUCUUCGGUUAUACCGACGACAGAACCGAAUCGUCGGUGGACCGAACUCUCGGUUAUUGGUUUCUCAGAAUAUCGAUCGGUCAGUAAAAUCUGUAAACCGAAUUCCAAAAUUAACCGAGGUACCGAACCGAUCGGUUCGCUGUAACCGAAUGCCCAGUCCUGUCCUCGCCCGAUCCCCAACCUACGGAUCUCCCCAGUCCCAGCGACGCCGAGCUCCCCCUGACCCUGCCUCCACCCGACGUCGCCGCCCCCGCCCCCUCCCACUCCCGCCCCGCUGGCAAGCCGGGCGCCGCCAUGCCCGACCUUCCCUUUGA